GUGCUUGCUUCAGCAGCAUAUAAACUAAAAUUGAAAUGAUACAGAGAAGAUUAGCAUGGCCCCUGUGCAAGGAUGACAUGCAAAUUCGUGAAGCAUCCGAUAUUUUC